UGCAGGGCUGGCUUAAACUACCCAGGGGGCCUCAGCUGGACUCAAAACCGGGAGGAAAGCGCGUUUCCCGCCACCCCCCAAGGCUUCCCCGACAACCAAGUCCUUUGAUUUCACUCGGCAAGACACGCCGGGGUAGCUCACGGGCACGCUCCCGGUAAUCGGACCGGAAAGGCGAGGGCGACCUCAGCCCGACCGGGCCGCUGGGCCGCGAGAAUCGUCGAGAGGCCCAACCCGCAGCGGACAAGAAAGCAGGCGUUGUCAAGCCACCACCGCUUACGUGGAGACCCUAAACGAGUGCGGGAAAAAGCGCGGAGUUCCGAAGCAGACCCCAGUGUGCGCCGUGAGAAAAGCCCCGGGUGGAAAUACUGUGCGAGGCCAGGGGGUUAGACACCUGUGGAGAAACAAGCACACGGCGUCCGCAAGCAGGGACAGACUGCGGCGAGCACACCACGUGGCGGCACAGAGGCACCAAGGCGAGCAGACAGAGCCAUUUGUGUUGAGCAUGAAAAGCAAGUUGCAGAAGCACGCCUGUGGUGUAAAACAAUUUACACAAAGCUUAAAAUAGCAAACUGAUUAGCCCGUUGUUUAGGGGCAAGUACCUACGUGGGUGCUGGAGAAUAGAGAAAACCAAGGGCAUGGUUUACCCAGAACUGGAGGUACUGGUGGGCAACAGAGUGAUCUGCAAUGGGUCCGGGUGUGUGUGGCUGGCUGAGUAACGGCUCGUCACAAUGACGAUGCCCACACCCUGAUCUCUGCAGCCCAUGAAUGUGUCGCCUUAUAUGGCAGAAGAGAUUUUGCAGGACCUUCAGAUGGAUUGUCCAGGUGGGCCCCAAAUGUAAUCACAUUUGAAGAGGGACACAGGAGUGUCAGUGUCCCUGUGGAGACAGACAUUGGAGUAGUGCAGCCAGGAGCCAAGGAAUGUUGGCAGCUUCUAAAAGCUGGAAGAGUCGUGGAACUGAUUCUCUCCUGGAGCUUCCAGAAGGAACUGGUCCUGGCUGGUUAUGGCAGGCACAAGACACCCAAACACAACAGCAAUAGUAAACUAUUACAACAUGCAGAGAGCUUUUGGGAAAUGCCACUUCGAUUUGCUAUAGCACUUUCUGCAGUGAAGUAUAACUUGUGUAAGUGUCCUGGGGCCACCAUAACAAAGUGCCCCACAACGGGGGAGCUUCACACAGCAGAGAUUUGUCCUCUCUCAG